rnacentral:rRNA from 1 species
GAUGAACGCUGGCGGAAUGCUUUACACAUGCAAGUCGAGCGGCAGCGCGGGGCAACCUGGCGGCGAGCGGCGAACGGGUGAGUAAUACAUCGGAACGUGCCCAAUCGUGGGGGAUAACGUAGCGAAAGUUACGCUAAUACCGCAUACGAUCUACGGAUGAAAGCGGGGGACCGAAAGGCCUCGCGCGAUUGGAGCGGCCGAUGUCGGAUUAGCUAGUUGGUAGGGUAAAGGCCUACCAAGGCGACGAUCCGUAGCGGGUCUGAGAGGAUGAUCCGCCACACUGGGACUGAGACACGGCCCAGACUCCUACGGGAGGCAGCAGUGGGGAAUUUUGGACAAUGGGCGCAAGCCUGAUCCAGCCAUGCCGCGUGAGUGAAGAAGGCCUUCGGGUUGUAAAGCUCUUUCAGGUGGAAAGAAAACGCAUGGGUCAAUACCCUGUGUGGAUGACGGUACCAUCAGAAGAAGCACCGGCUAACUACGUG